GUGCCAGCAGCCGCGGUAAUACGUAGGGCGCAAGCGUUGUCCGGAAUUAUUGGGCGUAAAGAGCUCGUAGGCGGCUUGUUGCGUCGGUUGUGAAAGCCCGGGGCUUAACCCCGGGUCUGCAGUCGAUACGGGCAGGCUAGAGUGUGGUAGGGGAGAUCGGAAUUCCUGGUGUAGCGGUGAAAUGCGCAGAUAUCAGGAGGAACACCGGUGGCGAAGGCGGAUCUCUGGGCCAUUACUGACGCUGAGGAGCGAAAGCGUGGGGAGCGAACAGGAUUAGAAACCCUUGUAGUCC
rnacentral:rRNA from 1 species